UACGGAGGGAGCUAGCGUUAUUCGGAAUUACUGGGCGUAAAGCGCACGUAGGCGGCUUUGUAAGUAAGAGGUGAAAGCCCAGAGCUCAACUCUGGAAUUGCCUUUUAGACUGCAUCGCUUGAAUUCAUGGAGAGGUCAGUGGAAUUCCGAGUGUAGAGGUGAAAUUCGUAGAUAUUCGGAAGGAACACCAGUGGCGAAGGACGGCUGGA
rnacentral:rRNA from 1 species